rnacentral:rRNA from 1 species
GUCUUUUUGGAAAUAAUUUAAAGUCAAAUCUGCCCACUGAUUUUUAAUUAAAGGGCUGCAGUAUAUUGACUGUACAAAGGUAGCAUAAUAAUUAGUCUUUUAAUUGGAGACUUGUAUGAAGGAUUUGAUGAGAUAUAAACUGUCUCUUUUUUAAAAUUUGAAUUUAAUUUUUUAGUAAAAAAGCUAAAAUUAAUUUAAAAGACGAGAAGACCCUAUAGAGUUUUAUAAUUUGUUUAAUUAUAAGUUAUAUGUAUUAAAUUAAAAAUUAAUUAGUAAAAUUAUUUUGUUGGGGUGAUAAAAAAAUUAAAUUAACUUUUUUUUUAAAUUAAACAUUAAUUAAUGAUUUUUUGAUCCAUAAUUUAUGAUUAAAAGAAAAAAUUACCUUAGGGAUAACAGCGUAAUUUUUUUUUUUAGUUCUUAUAAGAAAAAAAGUUUGCGACCUCGAUGUUGGAUUAAGAUAAAAUUUAAAUGCAGAAGUUUAAAAUUUUUGAUCUGUUCGAUCAUUAAAAUCUUACA